rnacentral:misc_RNA from 1 species
AGAAUCAUCUCUUUCUACAUGGUGAAUAUUAAAUUUUGAAGAUUUAAUGAUGUGCCUAUUGUAUUUUCUAGAGAUUAUCCACUGCAAUUGAUAAUUGAUUUUGAUAUGUUGAUGGGUUGAUGAUGGAGCGAUGAAUUUGAAAGCCAUGGGUGCAUGAAGAUGAAGAGAAAAGAUUGCCAUCAUUGGUGGUGAUUUGCUGGUGAAAAUAAGAAUAAAAGACGGUAUUUAAUUAGAAAGGGGAAAAACCAAAGGAGAAUAAAAAAAAUAGAAAAACAUUUAGCUAAAACCAAAAAAUAAUACUAAAAAUUAUUUUAUGUUUUAAAGAAAACAAAAAUAGAGAAA